rnacentral:rRNA from 1 species
AUUGAACGCUGGCGGCAGGCCUAACACAUGCAAGUCGAGCGGUAGCACAGAGAGCUUGCUCUCGGGUGACGAGCGGCGGACGGGUGAGUAAUGUCUGGGAAACUGCCUGAUGGAGGGGGAUAACUACUGGAAACGGUAGCUAAUACCGCAUAACGUCGCAAGACCAAAGUGGGGGACCUUCGGGCCUCAUGCCAUCAGGUGUGCCCAGAUGGGAUUAGCUAGUAGGUGGGUAACGGCUCACCUAGGCGACGAUCCCUAGCUGGUCUGAGAGGGUGACCAGCCACAUGGGACCGGAGACACGGCCCAGACACAUAGGGGAGGCAGCAGUGGGGAAUAUUGCACAAUGGGCGCAAGCCUGAUGCAGCCAUGCCGCGUGGGUGAAGAAGGCCUUCGGGUUGUAAAGCACUUUCAGCGGGGAGGAAGGGAGUAAAGUUAAUACCUUUGCUCAUUGACGUUACCCGCAGAAGAAGCACCGGCUAACUCCGUGCCAGCAGCCGCCGUAA